rnacentral:rRNA from 1 species
AGACUCCUACGGGAGGCAGCAGUGGGGAAUAUUGCACAAUGGGCGAAAGCCUGAUGCAGCGACGCCGCGUGAGGGAUGACGGCCUUCGGGUUGUAAACCUCUUUCGCCAGGGACGAAGCGCAAGUGACGGUACCUGGAGAAGAAGCACCGGCUAACUACGUGCCAGCAGCCGCGGUAAUACGUAGGGUGCGAGCGUUGUCCGGAAUUAUUGGGCGUAAAGAGCUCGUAGGCGGUUUGUCGCGUCGGCCGUGAAAACCUGGGGCUUAACCCUGGGCCUGCGGUCGAUACGGGCAGACUUGAGUUCGGUAGGGGAGACUGGAAUUCCUGGUGUAGCGGUGAAAUGCGCAGAUAUCAGGAGGAACACCGGUGGCGAAGGCGGGUCUCUGGGCCGAUACUGACGCUGAGGAGCGAAAGCGUGGGGAGCGAACAGGAUUAGAUACCCUGGUAGUCCACGCCGUAAACGUUGGGCGCUAGGUGUGGGGAGCAUUAAGCGCCCCGCCUGGGGAGUACGGCCGCAAGGCUAAAACUCAAAGGAAUUGACGG